CAAGGCAAAGACAAGGCAAUGGCAGGCCAGGAGAGGUUAGGCAAAGCCAGGCUAGCCUAGGAUAGGCCAGGCCAGGCAAUACAUGGUCAGGCUAGGCCAGGCCAGACAAGGUAAGGCCAUGCCCCUACAGGCCAGGCAAGGCAAGGCCAGGUCAUACAAGGGCAGGCCAGUACACGCACAGCCAGAAGAGACCAGGUGACGCGACGACAGGAGAGGCCUGACCAGGCCAGGCAAGGCAAGGCAAGGUCAAGCAAGGCAAGGCAAGGCACAGCAAGGAAAGACAAAGCAAGGCCAGGCCAGGCAAAGCAAGGCCAGGCAAGGUCCGGCCAGGCUUUACCAGACCACGCCAGGCCAGUCUCGUAGAAGCCAGGCAAUGCAAGGAAAUGCAAGGCAAUUCUAGGCCAGGCCAGGCCAGACCAGGCUAGGCAAGGCAAGGCAAGGCAAUGGCAGGCCAGGAGAGGUUAGGCAAAGCCAGGCUAGCCUAGGAUAGGCCAGGCCAGGCAAUACAUGGUCAGGCCAGGCCAGGCCAG
rnacentral:lncRNA from 1 species